rnacentral:rRNA from 1 species
AACGGGUUUUUCCUCUGUUACGGCGAGUGAAGCGGUAAAAGCUCAAAUUUGAAAUCUGGCUCUUUCAGAGUCCGAGUUGUAAUUUGUAGAAGAUGCUUCGGGUGUGGUUCCGGUCUAAGUUCCUUGGAACAGGACGUCAUAGAGGGUGAGAAUCCCGUAUGUGACUGGAUACCUAUGCUCAUGUGAAGCUCUUUCGACGAGUCGAGUUGUUUGGGAAUGCAGCUCAAAAUGGGUGGUAUAUUUCAUCUAAAGCUAAAUAUUGGCCAGAGACCGAUAGCGCACAAGUAGAGUGAUCGAAAGAUGAAAAGCACUUUGGAAAGAGAGUUAAACAGUACGUGAAAUUGUUGAAAGGGAAGCGCUUGCAAUCAGACUUGCACUUGGUGUUCAUCAGGGUUUCGUGCCCUGUGUACUUCAUCAAGUUCAGGCCAGCAUCAGUUUGAGUGGUUAGAUAAAGGCUUGGAGAACGUGGCCCUCUUCGGGGGGUGUUAUAGCUCCAGGUGCAAUGUAGCCUACUUGGACUGAGGACCGCGCUUCGGCUAGGAUGCUGGCGUAAUGGUUGUAAGCGACCCGUCUUGACCCCCCGAACCA